UAGGAGUCCAGGGGUCAGGGCAGAGGCGCAGGUGGUGCGACGCCACGGAGUUGGUCCCCAUGGCCGUGAGCCAGCCCCAGCGGCACAGCCGCCCUGUCCCCAGCGGCAUCUAGGUGAUGGCCAACUCCAGGCCGCUCUCCAGCUGCUUGGCCUGGCACCUCAGCUCUGCCAGCUCCCGGAAGCAACAGGCCACCAAGCGGCCCCGGGCUCCCGUGGCAGUGAGCCCUCUACUCUGCUCUCAAAAACUGAUGCCGCCAAGGAGCCCGCCAUGGCCAGCCCUGCUCAAAGCCAGGGCCAGCCCCGGGAGCCAAGCCGCCAGGCAGCCUUCCUCCAGGGAGGGUCUGGAGGCUGAGGGGGGGCGGCCUGCGGGUGACCAAGGAGAUAGCCAUGCAGCGCCACGUGGGGGACCUCCGGCUGCUGGGGAGUCCCCGGCCACACCCAGUUCCCCAGGCCUGGCCUGGCAGGAUGGUAGCUGCCUCUAAGAGGGGAAACCCGAGUAAGAAAAGCGGGACCCCAGCCGCAAAGAUGGUGCCCAGGAGGAGGACAAGACCAAGGACAAGGGCUGAGGGCAGCCCGGGGAGAUGCCCGGUGUGGACAAGAAGGGCCUGCAGGCCAGCAGCCCCUGCCGCAAGGCAGAGCGGGGGAAGCGACCAGUAAGAAGCCAUUUUCGGCCACCGAAGUCCAUUUGCUGCCCCAACCCUCCCAGACAGGAAGCACACGAAGGCCCCUGCAGGGAAGCUGGUGGAGUGGAAGGCCUGCUCGCUAGACCCCUCCCAGGACGCCCCAAGCUGAAGAAGCGGGUCUUGAGCCACCCUGAUCUCUUCGGAGACCAGAGUGAGGACGAGGCCCCGGAAUCUGUGGCGCCGAGGAUGUGGGCCCCUGCCCUCCCAGCCUCAGCUGGGACUUAGACUCGGUCUCCAGCCUGGGCUUCGGGGAGGCUCAGAAAUCGCCCAAGCGGCUCAAGGACUCCCCGCCCCACUCCCCGGCCCAUCCUACUCCUCCUCCUUCUCCUCCAGCGCGGGCAGGAUGUGGACUACUCAGCCCUAGAAAAAGAGGUGGACUUCACUCCGACCCCCUGGAGGCGUGCCUGUGGAUCUUCGACGAGUCCACUAGCGUCAACACGGAGGACAAAGGUCGACUGGCCUUCAGCCCCCCAAGGAAGAGACCUUCGGGUCUGACCACUCUGUUCAGAAGAGGAUGAUAUCUUUCCAAGCAAGGCCAGGAGGCGGAGCCCUAGAGGAGGAGUCCCGCGGUGCCCCGCCCACCGGCGCAGGAGUUAGUUGGCUACCUGCCGGCCCAGCACGCGCAGAGGAAGUAGGUGAGCUGGCUGCAGGCCGCCCCCAGGCUAGCGGAGAGCCGUCCUCGCUCCAAGAGGAUCGCCCACGUCCCCAAACCCGCUUGGCUGCAGCCCCUACAGAAAACCCUCGUGGCCAGCUGCAGCCAGACCCCCAGUGAGGCCCCAAGCCCCUCAGCCAGCUGCUUGAGACCCGCAGGUGGUGAGGGAUGGCGUCCAAGACCACCACCAUCAUCACCCGUAAGCGACUCGCCCACAGUCCAUCCUUACAGAGUGUAAAGAGACCCAUUAUCCCCUAAGAGUUUAGGGGCAGUCACCACCGUCAUCCGCCAACGCCAUCUCAACCUGUUCAUCCAGAAGUGUUCCGUUCUGCGCCACCAGGAGGCUAUGGAGAAGGCGCUGAAAGAGGAAACGAUGACCUGAGACCGGCAACCCCGGAGAAAACCUCUACCUGAACUGCCACGAACACCCUCCCAGAGCUCAGCCGCCUGGGAAUCCCCGAGGCCACAGGAUGUGUCCCGGGAGGAGGAGUUGGUGGGCAGGCUGGCCGCCGGGACCAGCUUCUCGUGCAGCUACUGGAGCAGCCCCCGGUGAGGAACCUGAACCAGGCCGCCCUGUGCAGCCCCUUGAGGAGCUCCUGCUAACCCAGGCCCAGCUCAAGAACGGCUCCCCGUCCCACACCCACCGCUCCGUCUUCUUCACGGCCAAGGAGAAGAAGCCCAAGGACUCCUCCUGCAGGACCUGCUGUCCCGCGGCACCGAGUCCCACGUGUCCUCGUCGAGCUCUAUGUCCGCAACGAGGAGUUGCUGCCACUGGGGGCGGCUGGGAGACCCGGGGUUGCGCGGCGCCAUCAGGUCGCUGAGCUCACCUGCCGGCGGAAGGAGCGCCUGGAGGGCUUCGUGAGGACGUUUGAGAAAGCUCUGGGGGACGCCUCCCCACUGGGACCCAUGCCCUGGACUGUUGGGCGCCCUGCACCACGCACGGCCUGGAGCUGGCCCGGUAACGCGGCCACAGGAACGUGGUGCGCGACGCCUUCGUCAAGACCGACGGCUUUCUUGCCGACAUUAGCGUCAGCUGCAGGCAGUCCUGCUGAACGUGUUCCGCUUGGCACCAACACCAUCGUCACCCGCACCGCCUGGAGAGCGGCCUGUGACCUCUUAGGGUAUCCACAGCACGGAGGUGGACGAGUCCGCGCUCUCCCCAGCGCCUGGGCCUCCCCUAUAAGUGCUCUCUGCGGAGCCUCACGGCCGACCACGUGGGACAUCUCACCCAGAGACGCAUGUACAGCACAGCUCCCGCGGGGGCGCGGCGCCUGCGUGCAUCCGGCUAUCUGGAAGGUCCGAGAAGAC
rnacentral:lncRNA from 1 species